rnacentral:rRNA from 1 species
UACGUAGGGUGCGAGCGUUGUCCGGAAUUAUUGGGCGUAAAGAGCUUGUAGGCGGUCUGUCGCGUCUGCUGUGAAAAUCCGGGGCUCAACCCCGGACUUGCAGUGGGUACGGGCAGACUAGAGUGUGGUAGGGGAGACUGGAAUUCCUGGUGUAGCGGUGAAAUGCGCAGAUAUCGGGAGGAAUACCUAUGGCGAAAGCAGGCUUCUGGACCAUCACUG